rnacentral:rRNA from 1 species
UACGAAGGGUGCAAGCGUUACUCGGAAUUACUGGGCGUAAAGCGUGCGUAGGUGGUUUGUUAAGUCUGAUGUGAAAGCCCUGGGCUCAACCUGGGAAUGGCAUUGGAUACUGGCGAGCUAGAGUGCGGUAGAGGGUAGUGGAAUUCCCGGUGUAGCAGUGAAAUGCGUAGAGAUCGGAAGGAACAUCAGUGGCGAAGGCGACUUCCUGGACCAAUACUGACGCUCAGGUGCGAAAGCGUGGGGAGCAAACAGG